CACCUGGAGACUUCUUAACAGAGACAAUAAUUGUCUUUCAUUUUACAGUUGCCGAUUUUUACCAGUGUUGUGAACAGCCUCCGGGUUGUUGUCGAGCGCAAGCUCGCUCUGCCUGCUAAAAUGGCGGCCGAGGGCGUCCAUUGGAUACUUCACUGGUUCGCACGAGUGGGCUAUCUUGCUCCGCUUUACGACCUCUGGUCGGAACUGCUGUUGAGCUCAAUUCUGCCGUUUAAAUUUUGAAAAUCGGUUCAGGUUAAGAGUUCGUACAGCGUUUUAUUAACCGUGUGCGGAAAUUAAAUAAGUCAUGCACGGAAACGUCGGGAUUCGCCCGGAGACACUCGGAGUUUUCGUGUGUGGCGUAUCUAGAGCCUAUUGGCUCUGAAAACGAAGAAGAAGAACAGAAUAAUAAGAACACCUGGUCUCUCAUCAAAAGAAGGAUUAUUCACAAUAGCUCGAGUCCAAUAACGGAGCACCCACCUCAAAUAAGCUUGCGUGCCAAGUUUCCCUCGUAAGUCGUGAUCAAGAGGAAGACACUGCCCAAAGACAAGCUUCCAGCCGGCGUCAUUGUCCGUGCGCAGCAGGAGGAGUGGAUACGAUAGACGAGGAACAUGUGGUGUACCCCGGUGAUUCGUGGAUCGACGACCCGAAGGAAUGGCCGAACGUGCAAUACCCGGACGGAUACGCGUAUCUCGUCAAGACACCAGGAUCAACAGGUACUUGGCCAUUGUCCAUCUGCAGGAGAAGUGCAGCAAAUGCUCCAGCGGUGUGAUCUCCUUGUAGCUGAGCACACAUGUUGGUUUGAAUUCUCAUCUUUUCAACAUCUCUCCACAGAUUCAGUGGCAGCUUCAAUGCAGAAUGAGCUGUGUGACCCCUGGACAAGAGUGGCAGCAAUGCCAGAGGACCGCACUGCAAUGGCAAUUUUACUCUGUUUCUGAUGUUUGCCAAGAGAAGAUUGGUGACAAAUGUUUUGCCUGUUUCUUCUGGUGCAUUCAAAAAGACAAUUCUUCCAGUUUUCUUGUUGACUCUCUC
rnacentral:lncRNA from 1 species